rnacentral:tRNA from 1 species
UCCCUGGAAGACUAGAGGUUAGGCCACAGCACUCUCCUUGCUGCAGCCUGGGUUCAAUUCCCGGCCAGGGAA